rnacentral:rRNA from 1 species
AUUAAUUAUAUAUUUAUUAAAAUCUUUAAUUUAAUAAUUUAAUCUUAUUAAAAAUACUUAAUUGUAUAGUAUUAAUAUAGAAAUACUAUAUUUAUAAUAAUAGUUUAUUAGUACUGUAAAGGAAUAUAUUUAAUUAAGUUAAAGUAUAAUUGAUUUUUAGUACCUUUUGUAUCAGGGUUUAUUAAAUAUAUGUUAUGUAUAUAACAAUCCCGAAUUUAUAGGAUCUAUAUUAGUUAUAUUUUAUAAUAUAGCAAAAUUAUAUGUAAUAGUAAUAUAGUAAUAAUAUGUUAUUCAGCUAUAAUAUAUCUGGUUUACUAAUAAUUGAAUUUAAUUCAUGAAUACUUAAUAGUUAAUGUUUUAUUUAUUAUAGAAUGACUAUAUUGUAUUCUACUUUUAUUGGGGAUAAGCUCAAUAAAAUAUUUAUAAUUAUAUUUUUAAUAUAUAGUUAAGUAGGCCUAGUAUUAGCCAUCUAUAAAUUUAUUUCAUUAUAGAACUUCUAUAUAUAAUUUUUAUUUAUUAUUAAUUUAAAAUACUAUUAGUAUUAUAUAUAUAAUAAAUAUAUAUAUGUAUAAAUGAUAGAAUUAGUAUUAUAAUCAUAUAAAAUAUAGUAAUUCGGCAAAUUAUAUCUUCACCUGUUUAACAAAAACAUGUCCUUUUGUAUACUUAAUAUAAGGUCUGACCUGCCCAAUGAUUAUAUUUAAUGGCCGCAGUAUAUUGACUGUGCGAAGGUAGCAUAAUCACUUGUCCUUUAAUUGUGGACUAGUAUGAAUGGUUUAAUGAGGGAUAUACUUUCUUUAUUUUAUAUAUAUAAAUUUAAUUUAUAAGUUAAAAAGCUUAUAUAAUUUUAAAUGACGAGAAGACCCUAUAGAACUUUACUUAUUAUACCUAUUGUAAUUAUUUGUUUUGUUAUAAAUAUAGUCUGUAACAUAAGUUUUGUUGGGGUGACAAUUAAAUCUUUUUAACUUUAAUUUAAAUAUUAAAUCAUUAAUUAAUGUAUAUUAAUUGAUCCUGUAAUAUGGAUUAUAAGAAUAAGUUACCUUAGGGAUAACAGCGUAAUUUUAUUGUAGAGUUCAUAUUAAUAAUAGAGUUUGCGACCUCGAUGUUGGAUUAAAAUAAGUAUUAGAUGCAUAAGUUUAAUAACUAAGUCUGUUCGACUUUUAAUAUUUUACAUGAUCUGAGUUCAAACCGGCGUGAGCCAGGUUGGUUUCUAUCUUUAAAUAGAGAAUUAAUAUUUUAGUACGAAAGGACCAAAUAUCAUAAAUAAUUUAUUUAAAUUAUGAUUAAUAUUA